rnacentral:rRNA from 1 species
GAUGAACGCUGGCGGCGUGCCUAAUACAUGCAAGUCGAGCGAACAGACGAGGAGCUUGCUCCUCUGACGUUAGCGGCGGACGGGUGAGUAACACGUGGAUAACCUACCUAUAAGACUGGGAUAACUUCGGGAAACCGGAGCUAAUACCGGAUAAUAUAUUGAACCGCAUGGUUCAAUAGUGAAAGACGGUUUUGCUGUCACUUAUAGAUGGAUCCGCGCUGCAUUAGCUAGUUGGUAAGGUAACGGCUUACCAAGGCAACGACGCGUAGCCGACCUGAGAGGGUGAUCGGCCACACUGGAACUGAGACACGGUCCAGACUCCUACGGGAGGCAGCAGUAGGGAAUCUUCCGCAAUGGGCGAAAGCCUGACGGAGCAACGCCGCGUGAGUGAUGAAGGUCUUCGGAUCGUAAAACUCUGUUAUUAGGGAAGAACAAAUGUGUAAGUAACUAUGCACGUCUUGACGGUACCUAAUCAGAAAGCCACGGCUAACUACGUG